GUGGUUCUCGCCACAGGCCGCUUACAACAGGGCUGUUUGCUUCUUUGAGGCCAGCAAAAACUCUCUCUCAUCUACUAAGAGUCUUAUAUAACAUAAUAUACUCACGAGAAUACUAUCCUAUUGUAUUUGCCAAGAGCAUAACUUACUCUAGGAGGUAACAUCCUAUCAUCUUUGCCACAUAAUGCAAUCCACUCAAAGGAGGGCCAUCCCAUCCACCUUUGCCAUGUUCCACUGGUUAAAAGCAAGUCAAAUGCCUACACUUAAGGACAGGGGUUUACACAAGGAAUGUGACUCAUUAGGGGUCACCCUAGGGUGUGUCUGUUACACAAUCUAUACAGCAUAAUGCUCUGUUUCUUUCCUACAAUGAAAGAAAUGCUUGAAUUCCCUUUAUUUUGAUGUUUUUAACACUUUUUCUCCUCUAUGUCUUUUUGCUUACCCAUCUUUCUCACAGAUCAUGCAGACAAUUCAUGUUACAAUUGAGAAAUCUGAAGCUCAAAGCGAAGAAACUGAGGCUCAGAAAAGUGAAGUAACCUGUCGAAGUCAUGGAACCUGUAAGUAGGAAAAGGAACUGAGAUGAAAACACAGAGUUUCUCUCCCAAGCGUCGGCUCCUGAGCAGAUGAGGAGCCCCAAUACCAUGGGCGGCUGGCCCCUGGGCACCAGGCAGGGGCUCCCUCACCAACUGGGCAGCUUGCAGGUUUGGGUGGGAGGUGGGGCCAUGGCACAGCUAGGUGGGCCUGAUGCUGACUCCCACGGCGCCGUCUCCGCUGUCUCUGAGCUCAGAGAAGCCCUGCACUGUUAGGGGAACAAAACGGGGUGACGCGGGAGGAAGGCGGAGGAUUAAGGCCGGAACGGACAGUGUCAGCACUCCUGGUCGUCAGGUCCUGUGUUCCGAAUCUGACUUUCCCUAUACGGAGGGUCUGGGCAGCUCCAGCCCCUGGGCCUAGAGGAAACCCAGCAGCCACUCCGCCUGCUGCGUAAGAGGAUGUGCCCGCUGAUCAAGAUACCGUUACCAACGCUGCCCUCAGCCAAACUGAGACACACCCCUGUGGUCUCUUCAUCUCUUUCUAGAGAAUUCUUUUUUUAUUUCCCCUCCAAUACACACUCUCAAAAUCAAAGACACAAAAUGAUAAAAACUUGAGGCCUCAGGUUAGAACUGCGAUCUUUGCGAAUGCUCUGUCCUAUAGAGCAGUUUGGUGCAACGAAGAGGACACUGGCUUCAGAGAAAGACAGACUUUAAAUUCAGCUC
rnacentral:lncRNA from 1 species